CGAACGCUGGCGGCGUGCCUAACACAUGCAAGUCGAACGAGAAAUUCCGACUCGUCGGAAGAGUAAAGUGGCGAACGGGUGAGUAACGCGUGGGUAAUCUACCCUUGAGUUCGGGAUAACUUCGCGAAAGCGGAGCUAAUACCGAAUAAAACUGACCUUGUUCCGGCAAGAUCAGUAAAAGAUGGUCUCUACAUGUAAGCUGUCGCUCAAGGAUGAGCCCGUGUACCAUUAGCUUGUUGGCAGGGUAAUGGCCUACCAAGGCAACGAUGGUUAGCUGGUCUGAGAGGAUGGCCAGUCACACUGGAACUGAGACACGGUCCAGACUCCUACGGGAGGCAGCAGUGGGGGAUUUUGCGCAAUGGGGGAAACCCUGACGCAGCGACGCCGUGUGAGUGAUGAAGGCCUUCGGGUCGUAAAGCUCUGUCAGGUGGGAAGAAAUAUCCUGAUAUGAAUAGUAUCGGGGUUUGACGGUACCACCAAAGGAAGCACCGGCUAACUCCGUG
rnacentral:rRNA from 1 species